rnacentral:rRNA from 1 species
GAUGAACGCUGGCGGCGUGCCUAAUACAUGCAAGUCGAGCGAACAGACGAGGAGCUUGCUCCUCUGACGUUAGCGGCGGACGGGUGAGUAACACGUGGAUAACCUACCUAUAAGACUGGGAUAACUUCGGGAAACCGGAGCUAAUACCGGAUAAUAUAUUGAACCGCAUGGUUCAAUAGUGAAAGACGGUUUUGCUGUCACUUAUAGAUGGAUCGGCGCGGCAUUAGCUAGUUGGUAAGGUAACAGCUUACCAAGGCAACGAUGCGUAGCCGACGUGACAGGGUGAUCGGUCACACUGGAAGUGGGACGCGGACCAGACUCCUACGGGAGGCAGCAGUAGGGAAUCUUCCGCAAUGGGCGAAAGCCUGACGGAGCAACGCCAAGUGAGUGAUGAAGGUCUUCGGAUCGUAAAGCUCUGUUAUUAGGGAAGAACAAAUGUGUAAGUAACUGUGCACGUCUUGACGGUACCUAAUCAGAAAGCCACGGCUAACUACGUG